rnacentral:rRNA from 1 species
UACAGAGGUGGCAAGCGUUGUUCGGAAUUACUGGGCGUAAAGGGCGCGUAGGCGGCCUUCUAAGUCAGACGUGAAAUCCCCCGGCUUAACCUGGGAACUGCGUCUGAUACUGGAAGGCUUGAGUGCGGGAGAGGGAUGUGGAAUUCCAGGUGUAGCGGUGAAAUGCGUAGAUAUCUGGAGGAACACCGGUGGCGAAGGCGGCAUCCUGGACCGACACUGACGCUGAGGCGCGAAAGCUAGGGGAGCAAACGGG